UACGGAGGGUGCGAGAGUUAAUCGGAAUUACUGGGCGUAAAGCGUCCGUAGGCGGCUUGUUAAGUCUGAUGUGAAAGCCCUGGGCUUAACCUGGGAACGGCAUUGGAUACUGGCGAGCUAGAGUUCGGUAGAGGGUGGUGGAAUUCCCGGUGUAGCGGUGAAAUGCGUAGAGAUCGGGAGGAACACCGGUGGCGAAGGAGGCCUCCGGGACCGAGAAUGACGCUGAGGGACGAAAGCGUGGGGAGCAAACAGG
rnacentral:rRNA from 1 species